CAACGCUUUUAAAUUCUUAAACUCUAAAGUUUACACAUCUCUUUAUAAAUAGAUUUAAAAUGUUCUGUAAUUAAAAAAUGAACUCUGAAAAUUACACAGGUUUCUUGUUUACAUUCGCCUUGAAUUUAAAAGUGAAGAAGUUGGAAUACCCUGGAAACUGUGGUUAAUACUGUAUACUGCACUGUACUGUACUGAUUUAAACUGUAGAGUACAGCUGUGCCUUCAGAUGUAAAUAUAGUUCCCUUGAUACAAACAAAAUAGAGUACUCUCUUCUCUCCCGAUAAACAGAACCCUCUGAUGGCGGGAUUAGACUCCUGCCGACGAAGUGUAGAUAUCAAACCAUAUGUUUGCGGGUAAGCUCU